GCCCAGGUGGCGGAACUGGUAGACGCGCUAGCUUCAGGUGCUAGUGCCCUAACGGGCGUGGAGGUUCGAGUCCUCUCCUGGGCACCA
rnacentral:tRNA from 2 species